UACAGAGGUGGCAAGCGUUGUUCGGAAUUACUGGGCGUAAAGGGCGCGUAGGCGGUUCGAUAAGUCCCGUGUGAAAUCCCUCGGCUCAACUGGGAAACUGCAUCGGAAACUGAUCGGCUUGAAGGUGGGAGAGGGUAUUGGAAUUCCCGGUGUAGUGGUGAAAUGCGUAGAUAUCGGGAGGAACACCAGUGGCGAAGGCGACUACCUGGCCCAUUCUUGACGCUGAGGCGCGAAAGCUAGGGGAGCGAACGGG
rnacentral:rRNA from 1 species